rnacentral:rRNA from 1 species
CCUACGGGAGGCUGCAGUGAGGAAUAUUGGUCAAUGGACGAGAGUCUGAACCAGCCAAGUGGCGUGAAGGAUGACUGCCCUAUGGGUUGUAAACUUCUUUUAUAAAGGAAUAAAACGAGGCACGUGUGCCUUUUUGCAUGUACUUUAUGAAUAAGGAUCGGCUAACUCCGUGCCAGCAGCCGCUGUAAUACGGAGGAUCCGAGCGUUAUCCGGAUUUAGUGGGUUUAAAGGGAGCGUAGAUGGGUUGUUAAGUCAGUUGUGAAAGUUUGCGGCUCAACCGUAAAAUUGCAAUUGAUACUGGCAGUCUUGAGUACAGUUGAGGUAGGCGGAAUUCGUGGUGUAGCGGUGAAAUGCUUAGAUAUCACGAAGAACCCCGAUUGCGAAGGCAGCUUACUAAACUGUGACUGACAUUGAUGCUCGAAAGUGUGGGUAUCAAACAGGAUUAGAUACCCGAGUAGUC